GUGAUUAAGGCACCAAUACAGGAUUGUGAGAUUCACAGUCAUAUCAUGUGUACAGUGUAGGCAUUACAGACCAACACAAUCUAAAUAUGCUCAUUAUAUAGCAGCUGUAACAGCUAAUAAAUAUAUGAAUUCUAUUAUAAGAUUAUAUGAAAUAUAUUCUACUGAGAAUUAAAUUAAAAUCUAAAUUAACUUGUAUUAACUAUCCAAAACAGAUUUUUCACAUAUAAUGUCAGUAACAUAGAGAAAAACAGAUUAAAUCAUGAAAUGAUAUUAAGCAAACCAAA
rnacentral:misc_RNA from 1 species